UGCAGUCGAGCGGCAGCGCGGGGCAACCUGGCGGCGAGCGGCGAACGGGUGAGUAAUAGAUAGGAACGUAUCCGGGAGUGGGGGAUAACUAGCCGAAAGGUUAGCUAAUACCGCAUAUUCUCUGCGGAGGAAAGCGGGGGACCUGUAAGGGCCUCGCGCUCGCGGAGUGGCCUAUCUCCGAUUAGCUAGUUGGUGGGGUAAAGGCUUACCAAGGCGACGAUCGGUAGCUGGUCUGAGAGGAUGAUCAGCCACACUGGGACUGAGACACGGCCCAGACUCCUACGGGAGGCAGCAGUGGGGAAUUUUGGACAAUGGGGGCAACCCUGAUCCAGCCAUGCCGCGUGCGGGAGGAAGGCCUUCGGGUUGUAAACCGCUUUUAUUCGGGAAGAAGGAGUGCUGGUUAAUACCCGGCAUGACGGACGGUACUGGAUGAAUAAGCACCGGCUAACUACGUGCCAGCAGCCGCGGUAAUACGUAGGGUGCGAGCGUUAAUCGGAAUUACUGGGCGUAAAGCGUGCGUAGGCGGUUGGCAAAGUCAGCUGUGAAAGCCCCGGGCUCAACCUGGGAAUUGCGGUUGAAACUAGUCGACUAGAAUCUGGCAGAGGGGGGUGGAAUUCCACGUGUAGCAGUGAAAUGCGUAGAGAUGUGGAGGAACACCGAUGGCGAAGGCAGCCCCCUGGGCUGAGAUUGACGCUCA
rnacentral:rRNA from 1 species